rnacentral:rRNA from 1 species
GACGAACGCUAGCGGCGUGCUUAACACAUGCAAGUCGAACGGUAAGGCCCUUCGGGGUACACGAGUGGCGAACGGGUGAGUAACACGUGGGUGAUCUGCCCUGCACUUCGGGAUAAGCCUGGGAAACUGGGUCUAAUACCGGAUAGGACCACUGCCUGCAUGGGUGGUGGGGGAAAGCUUUUGCGGUGUGGGAUGGGCCCGCGGCCUAUCAGCUUGUUGGUGGGGCGAUGGCCUACCAAGGCGAUGACGGGUAGCCGGCCUGAGAGGGUGACCGGCCACACUGGGACUGAGAUACGGCCCAGACUCCUACGGGAGGCAGCAGUGGGGAAUAUUGCACAAUGGGCGCAAGCCUGAUGCAGCGACGCCGCGUGAGGGAUGACGGCCUUCGGGUUGUAAACCUCUUUCAGCACCGACGAAGCGCAAGUGACGGUAGGUGCAGAAGAAGGACCGGCCAACUACGUGCCAGCCGCCGCCGUAA